rnacentral:tRNA from 1 species
GGGGCUGUAGCUCAGUUGGCUAGAGCACUUGCAUGGCAUGCAAGGGGUCAGGGGUUCAAGUCCCCUCAGGUCCA